rnacentral:rRNA from 1 species
GACGAACGUCGGCGGCGUGCUUAACACAUGCAAGUCGAACGGAAAGGCCCUGCUUUUGUGGGGUGCUCGAGUGGCGAACGGGUGAGUAACACGUGAGUAACCUGCCCUUGACUUUGGGAUAACUUCAGGAAACUGGGGCUAAUACCGGAUAGGAGCUCCUGCUGCAUGGUGGGGGUUGGAAAGUUUCGGCGGUUGGGGAUGGACUCGCGGCUUAUCAGCUUGUUGGUGGGGUAGUGGCUUACCAAGGCUUUGACGGGUAGCCGGCCUGAGAGGGUGACCGGCCACAUUGGGACUGAGAUACGGCCCAGACUCCUACGGGAGGCAGCAGUGGGGAAUAUUGCACAAUGGGCGGAAGCCUGAUGCAGCAACGCCGCGUGCGGGAUGACGGCCUUCGGGUUGUAAACCGCUUUCGCCUGUGACGAAGCGUGAGUGACGGUAAUGGGUAAAGAAGCACCGGCUAACUACGUG